AUUUGCCAUGGGGGAAACCCUGAUGCAGCAACGCCGCGUGGAGGAUGACGCAUUUCGGUGUGUAAACUCCUUUUAUAAGGGAAGAUAAUGACGGUACCUUAUGAAUAAGCACCGGCUAACUCCGUGCCAGCAGCCGCGGUAAUACGGAGGGUGCAAGCGUUACUCGGAAUCACUGGGCGUAAAGGGUGCGUAGGCGGGUUAUCAAGUCUCGAGUGAAAUCCAACGGCUUAACCGUUGAACUGCUUGGGAAACUGGUAGCCUAGAGUGAGGGAGAGGCAGAUGGAAUUGGUGGUGUAGGGGUAAAAUCCGUAGAGAUCACCAGGAAUACCCAUUGCGAAGGCGAUCUGCUGGAACUCAACUGACGCUGAGGCACGAAAGCGUGGGGAGCAAACAGGAUUAGAUACCCUGGUAGUCCACGCCCUAAACGAUGAACACUAGUUGUUGCUCUGCACGUCAGGGCAGUAAUGCACCUAACGGAUUAAGUGUUCCGCCUGGGGAGUACGGUCGCAAGAUUAAAACUCAAAGGAAUAGACGGGGACCCGCACAAGCGGUGGAGCAUGUGGUUUAAUUCGAAGAUACGCGAAAAACCUUACCUGGCCUUGAUAUCCUAAGAAUCCUGUAGAGAUACGGGAGUGCUUGCUUGCAAGAGCUUAGAGACAGGUGCUGCACGGCUGUCGUCAGCUCGUGUCGUGAGAUGUUGGGUUAAGUCCCGCAACGAGCGCAACCCUCGUGUUUAGUUGCUAACGGUUCGGCCGAGCACUCUAAACAGACUGCCUUCGUAAGGAGGAGGAAGGUGAGGACGACGUCAAGUCAUCAUGGCCCUUAUGGCCAGGGCUACACACGUGCUACAAUGGAUAGGACAAUGAGACGCAAUACCGCGAGGUGGAGCAAAUCUAUAAACCUAUUCUCAGUUCGGAUUGUUCUCUGCAACUCGAGAACAUGAAGCUGGAAUCGCUAGUAAUCGUAGAUCAGCAUUGCUACGGGAAUACGUCCC
rnacentral:rRNA from 1 species